UUUGGUAUACUGCCUUAGUACUAGUAUAUAAUUACGUAGGUUUAAUUUUAUCUUUGCACUCGCAAUAGGCACUGAGCUACAGGGGGGUCAAAAGUGCGUCGAAACGGUUCGUGUAAAUAGUGCACGGCAUGCGCGCGGCCUGCUGGAACUUGGCCGCGCACUCCGUGCGCUUUGAUA